CUGCUUCACUGGCAUAAGAACCAGCCCUCGAGAAGAGUAUACAGAGGAGUAGUUGCCAGCAAACUUCCUGCCAACUUGGCCCAAGAUUUCUCAAGGGAUACUGAAACAGAUUAAUGAUGAUUCUAUUUGUGGAUUCUGCAUUAUGAUUAAUGAUCUAGCUGAGAGUCACUAGAAUACUUUUCUGUCCACGGG